rnacentral:rRNA from 1 species
GAUGAACGCUGGCGGCGUGCCUAAUACAUGCAAGUCGAGCGAACGGACGAGAAGCUUGCUUCUCUGAUGUUAGCGGCGGACGGGUGAGUAACACGUGGAUAACCUACCUAUAGGACUGGGAUAACUUCGGGAAACCGUAGCUAAUACCGGAUAAUAUUUUGAACCGCAUGGUUCAAAAGUGAAAGACGGUCUUGCUGUCACUUAUAGAUGGAUCCGCGCUGCAUUAGCUAGUUGGUAAGGUAACGGCUUACCAAGGCAACGAUGCAUAGCCGACCUGAGAGGGUGAUCGGCCACACUGGAACUGAGACACGGUCCAGACUCCUACGGGAGGCAGCAGUAGGGAAUCUUCCGCAAUGGGCGAAAGCCUGACGGAGCAACGCCGCGUGAGUGAUGAAGGUCUUCGGAUCGUAAAACUCUGUUAUUAGGGAAGAACAUAUGCGUAAGUAACUGUGCACAUCUUGACGGUACCUAAUCAGAAAGCCACGGCUAACUACGUG